rnacentral:rRNA from 1 species
UACGUAGGGUGCGAGCGUUAAUCGGAAUUACUGGGCGUAAAGUGUGCGCAGGCGGCCGAGCAAGUCGAGUGUGAAAGCCCCGAGCUUAACUUGGGAACUGCGCUCGAAACUACUUGGCUAGAGUGUGGCAGAGGGAGGUGGAAUUCCACGUGUAGCGGUGAAAUGCGUAGAGAUGUGGAGGAACACCGAUGGCGAAGGCAGCCUCCUGGGCCAACACUGACGCUCAUGCACGAAAGCGUGGGUAGCGAACAGG